rnacentral:tRNA from 1 species
GGCGAGGUAGCUCAGUUGGCUAGAGCACAUGGUUCAUACCCAUGGUGUCGGGAGUUCGAAUCUCUUCCUCGCUA